rnacentral:tRNA from 1 species
GGGAAGGUGGCUCAGGGGUAGAGUGCUUGCCUUGCAUGCAUGAGGCCCUGGGUUCGAUUCCUGAGCCCCA